rnacentral:sRNA from 1 species
UCCCUGAAUAAGAACGGUAUUAUACGGAGUAUAAACGACGUAACCGUGAUAGUAGUAUAAGCCAAGUAUAGUGAUAUUCAUUGUCUUAGAUUACUAGCAAUAGAAGAGAAGGAUUAAUGGCAGGAUGCUACAAACAUGCAAAGGAUUGCGGGUAAAGGAUUGCGGGUUAGGAUAACCAUUAAAAGGAUAAGUUUUCAAGGACGAAGCAAGGAGCACUACUUUUAGCUGGAUUGCUAUAAAACGAACCCGAAGGCACUGUUCAACAGUGCCUUCUUCGUCAGUG